rnacentral:rRNA from 1 species
GGCAGGCCUAACACAUGCAAGUCGAGCGGUAGCACAGAGAGCUUGCUCUCGGGUGACGAGCGGCGGACGGGUGAGUAAUGUCUGGGAAACUGCCUGAUGGAGGGGGAUAACUACUGGAAACGGUAGCUAAUACCGCAUAAUGUCGCAAGACCAAAGUGGGGGACCUUCGGGCCUCAUGCCAUCAGAUGUGCCCAGAUGGGAUUAGCUAGUAGGUGGGGUAACGGCUCACCUAGGCGACGAUCCCUAGCUGGUCUGAGAGGAUGACCAGCCACACUGGAACUGAGACACGGUCCAGACUCCUACGGGAGACAGCAGUGGGGAAUAUUGCACAAUGGGCGCAAGCCUGAUGCAGCCAUGCCGCGUGUGUGAAGAAGGCCUUCGGGUUGUAAAGCACUUUCAGCGGGGAGGAAGGCGGUGAGGUUAAUAACCUCACCGAUUGACGUUACCCGCAGAAUAAGCACCGGCUAACUCCGUGCCAGCAGCCGCGGUAAUACGGAGGGUGCAAGCGUUAAUCGGAAUUACUGGGCGUAAAGCGGCACGCAGGCGGUCUGUCAAGUCGGAUGUGAAAUCCCCGGGCUCAACCUGGGAACUGCAUUCCAAAACUGGCAGGCUAGAGUCUUGUAGAGGGGGGUAGAAUUCCAGGUGUAGCGUGAAAAUGCGUAGAGAUCUGGAGGAAUACCGGUGGCGAAGGCGGCCCCCUGGACAAAGACUGACGCUCAGGUGCGAAAGCGUGGGGAGCAAACAGGAUUAGAUACCCUGGUAGUCCACGCCGUAAACGAUGUCGAUUUGGAGGUUGUGCCCUUGAGGCGUGGCUUCCGGAGCUAACGCGUUAAAUCGACCGCCUGGGGAGUACGGUCGCAAGGUUAAAACUCAAAUGAAUUGACGGGGGCCCGCACAAGCGGUGGAGCAUGUGGUUUAAUUCGAUGCAACGCGAAGAGCCUUACCUGGUCUUGACAUCCACAGAACUUUCCAGAGAUGGAUUGGUGCCUUCGGGAACUGUGAGACAGGUGCUGCAUGGCUGUCGUCAGCUCGUGUUGUGAAAUGUUGGGUUAAGUCCCGCAACGAGCGCAACCCUUAUCCUUUGUUGCCAGCGGUUCGGCCGGGAACUCAAAGGAGACUGCCAGUGAUAAACUGGAGGAAGGUGGGGAUGACGUCAAGUCAUCAUGGCCCUUACGACCAGGGCUACACACGUGCUACAAUGGCAUAUACAAAGAGAAGCGACCUCGCGAGAGCAAGCGGACCUCAUAAAGUAUGUCGUAGUCCGGAUUGGAGUCUGCAACUCGACUCCAUGAAGUCGGAAUCGCUAGUAAUCGUAGAUCAGAAUGCUACGGUGAAUACGUUCCCGGGCCUUGUACACACCGCCCGUCACACCAUGGGAGUGGGUUGCAAAAGAAGUAGGUAGCUUAACCUUCGGGAGGGCGCUUACCACUUUGUGAUUCAUGACUG